rnacentral:rRNA from 1 species
GAUGAACGCUGGCGGCGUGCCUUAGCUAUGCAAGUCGAGCGGUGGUCUUCGGACCACAGCGGCAGACGGGUGAGAAACGCGUAGGAAUCUACCCUCGAGUGGGGAAUAGCCCCGCGAAAGCGGGGAUAAUACCGCAUAUACUCGUCCUCGUGACGAGGAAAGACCGUAACUGGUCGCUGGAGGAGGAGCCUACGUCCCAUCAGCUUGUUGGUGAGGUAAUGGCUCACCAAGGCGGUGACGGGUAGCUGGACUGAGAGGUCGGUCAGCCACAAGGGCACUGAGAUACGGGCCCUACACCUACGGGUGGCAGCAAUCGGGAAUAUUGCGCAAUGGGCGAAAGCCUGACGCAGCGACGCCGCGUGAGGGAUGAAGGUUUUAGGAUCGUAAACCUCUUUUAUAAGGGAAGAACCCGCUGUAUGGCGGGUGACGGUACCUUACGAAUAAGCACCUGCAAACUACGUGCCAGCAGCCGCGGUAAGACGUAGGGUGCAAGCGUUAUCCGGAUUUAUUGGGCGUAAAGAGUUCGUAGGCGGAAGAUUAAGUCUUUUUUGAAAGACCCCGACUCAAUCGGGGGAACGGAAGAGAAACUGGUUUUCUAGAGAGUGGGAGGGGGUGUCGGAACUUGUGGUGUAGGGGUGAAAUCCGUUGAUAUCACAAGGAACGCCAAGGGCGAAGGCAGACACCUGGGACAUUUCUGACGCUGAGGAACGAAAGCUAGGGGAGCAAAGCGGAUUAGAGACCCGUGUAGUCCUAGCUGUAAACGAUGUCUACUAGUUAUCCCGCCUUCGGGCGGGGUGACUUAGGUAACCCGAUAAGUAGACCGCCUGGGGAGUACGACCGCAAGGUUGAAACUCAAAGGAAUUGACGGGGAGGCGCACAACCAGUGGAGCAUGUGGUUUAAUUCGAUACGAAGCGAUGGACCUUACCUAGACUUGACAUGCUAGCUGCAUGUUUCUGGAAACAGAGGCAGCCUUCGAGGGUGCUAGUACAGCUGCUGCAUGGCUGUCGUCAGCUCGUGCCGUGGGGUGUCAGCUUAAGUGCUGUAACGAGCGCAACCCUUGCCCUGUGUUUUAUGUGUCACAGGGGACGGGUCCGAUUUGUGUCGGACAGGAAGGAGAGGAUGACGUCAAGUCAGCACGGUGCUUAUGUCUAGGGCAACACACAUCCUACAAUGGCCGUGACAAUGGGUCGCGAAGCCGCAAGGCGGAGCCAAUCCCACAAAAGCGGCCUCAGUUCAGAUUGUGGGCUGCAACUCGCCCACAUGAAGUUGGAAUUGGUAGUAAUCGCGGAUCAGCAGGCCGCGGUGAAUACGUUCUCGCCUCUUGUACACACCGCCCGUCAAGCCAGCAAAGUUGGGGGCACCUGAAG